rnacentral:misc_RNA from 1 species
GAUGAAGAACGUAGCGAAAUGCGAUACGUAAUGUGAAUUGCAGAAUUCAGUGAAUCAUCGAAUCUUUGAACGCAUAUUGCGCUCUCUGGUAUUCCGGAGAGCAUGCUUGUUUGAGUAUCAGUAAACACCUCAACUUCCAUAUCUUUUUUGAAAUGGGAGUUGGACUUGAGUGAUCCCAACGCUUUUCCUCACCGAAAAGUGGCGGGUUACUUGAAAUGCAGGUGCAGCUGGACUUUUCUCUGAGCUAUAAGCAUAUCUAUUUAGUCUGCCUAAAAAACAGAUUAUUACCUUUGCUGCAGCUAACAUAAAGGAGAUUAGUUCCUGUGCUGACUGAUGCAGGAUUCACAAAGACAGGCUUCGGCCGACUUUGUAAACUCGAUCUCAAAUCAAGUAAGACUACCCGCUGAACUUAAGCAUAUCAAUAAGCGGAAGA